rnacentral:rRNA from 1 species
GACGAACGCUGGCGGCGUGCUUAACACAUGCAAGUCGAACGGAAAGGCCCUGCUUUUGUGGGGUGCUCGAGUGGCGAACGGGUGAGUAACACGUGAGUAACCUGCCCUUGACUUUGGGAUAACUUCAGGAAACUGGGGCUAAUACCGGAUAGGAGCUCCUGCUGCAUGGUGGGGGUUGGAAAGUUUCGGCGGUUGGGGAUGGACUCGCGGCUUAUCAGCUUGCUGGUGGGGUAGUGGCUUACCAAGGCUUUGACGGGUAGCCGGCCUGAGAGGGUGACCGGCCACAUUGGGACUGAGAUACGGCCCAGACUCCUACGGGAGGCAGCAGUGGGGAAUAUUGCACAAUGGGCGGAAGCCUGAUGCAGCAACGCCGCGUGCGGGAUGACGGCCUUCGGGUUGUAAACCGCUUUCGCCUGUGACGAAGAGUGAGUGACGGUAAUGGGUAAAGAAGCACCGGCUAACUACGUG